GUGGGGAAUCUUGCGCAAUGGGCGAAAGCCUGACGCAGCAACGCCGCGUGGAGGACGAAGGCUUUCUGAGUUGUAAACUCCUUUCAGCAGGGACGAUUGUGACGGUACCUGCAGAAGAAGCACCGGCCAACUACGUGCCAGCAGCCGCGGUGAUACGUAGGGUGCAAGCGUUGUCCGGAUUUAUUGGGCGUAAAGAGCUCGUAGGCGGUUUGAUUAGUCGGGUGUGAAACCUCCAGGCUUAACCUGGAGCCGCCACUCGAUACUGUCAUGACUAGAAUUCGGUAGGGGACCACGGAAUUCCUGGUGUAGCGGUGAAAUGCGCAGAUAUCAGGAGGAACACCAGCAGCGAAGGCGGUGGUCUGGGCCGACAUUGACGCUGAGGAGCGAAAGCGUGGGGAGCGAACAGGAUUAGAUACCCUUGUAGUCC
rnacentral:rRNA from 1 species